rnacentral:rRNA from 1 species
AACGAACGCUGGCGGCAUGCCUAACAUAUGCCAGUCGAACGUGACCUUCGGGUCUAGUGGCGCACGGGUGCGUAACGCGUGGGAACCUGCCCUUAGGUUCGGAAUAACUCCCCGAAAGGGGUGCUAAUACCGGAUAAUGUCUUCGGACCAAAGAUUUAUCGCCUUUGGAUGGGCCCGCGUUGGAUUAGCUAGUUGGUAGGGUAAAAGCCUACCAAGGCGACGAUCCAUAGCUGGUCUGAGAGGAUGAUCAGCCACACUGGGACUGAGACACGGCCCAGACUCCUACGGGAGGCAGCAGUGGGGAAUAUUGGACAAUGGGCGAAAGCCUGAUCCAGCAAUGCCGCGUGAGUGAUGAAGGCCUUAGGGUUGUAAAGCUCUUUUACCCGGGAUGAUAAUGACAGUACCGGGAGAAUAAGCUCCGGCUAACUCCGUG